rnacentral:rRNA from 1 species
ACGGAAGGCAGCAGUGAGGAAUAUUGGUCAAUGGGCGGAAGCCUGAACCAGCCAAGUCGCGUGAAGGAUGAAGGUAUUAUGUAUUGUAAACUUCUUUAGUCGUAGAGAAAUAAGGUGCUCGUGAGCACUGAUGCUAGUAUACGAAGAAUAAGGAUCGGCUAACUCCGUGCCAGCAGCCGCGGUAAUACGGAGGAUCCGAGCGUUAUCCGGAUUUAUUGGGUUUAAAGGGUGCGCAGGCGGCUUUUUAAGUCAGUGGUCAAAUCGUGGGGCUCAACCCCAUCCCGCCAUUGAUACUGGAGAGCUUGAUUGCGGUCGAGGUUGGCGGAAUUCGUCGUGUAGCGGUGAAAUGCAUAGAUAUGACGAAGAACACCGAUUGCGUAGGCAGCUGGCCAGGCCGUAAAUGACGCUCAUGCACGAAAGUGCGGGGAUCGAACAGGAUUAGAUACCCUGGUA